ensembl:miRNA
CCUGGAACUCACUCUGUAGACCAGGCUGGCCUCCAAUUCACAGAGAUCCUCUUGUGUCUGCCUUCUGAGUGCUGGGAU